GCCUGGAGGACUAGUGGUUAGGCCUCGGCGCUCUUACCACCGUGGCCCAGGUUUGAUUCCCGGCAGGAG